GACCUAAGGGUCGCACCUGGAGAGUUUCCAGUCCUCUACCAGUCUCGGCUAUGGAAGGGAGUGUCAAGCAGAAGCCUACCCAUUCCAUUUCUAGCUGGGGCAGUGGCUAGCAAGGGGAAGGCAAUCUGCUACAAGU